rnacentral:rRNA from 1 species
UACGGGGGGGGCAAGCGUUGUUCGGAAUUACUGGGCGUAAAGGGCUCGUAGGCGGCCAACUAAGUCAGAUGUGAAAUCCCUCGGCUUAACCGGGGAACUGCAUCUGAUACUGGAUGGCUUGAGUUCGGGAGAGGGAUGUGGAAUUCCAGGUGUAGCGGUGAAAUGCGUAGAUAUCUGGAGGAACACCGGUGGCGAAGGCGGCAUCCUGGACCGACACUGACGCUGAUGAGCGAAAGCCAGGGGAGCAAACGGG